ACGUGAGGAACUUGUCCAUCGGCGGGGGAUAGCCGGCCCAACGGCCGGGUAAUACCGCGUACGUCGGCGGGAUCGCAUGGUCCUGCCGGGAAAGCAGCAAUGCACCGAUGGAGAGCCUCGCGGCCUAUCAGCUAGUUGGUGAGGUAAUGGCUCACCAAGGCGACGACGGGUAGCUGGUCUGAGAGGAUGAUCAGCCACAUUGGGACUGAGACACGGCCCAGACUCCUACGGGAGGCAGCAGUGGGGAAUAUUGCGCAAUGGGCGAAAGCCUGACGCAGCGACGCCGCGUGUGGGAUGACGGCCUUCGGGUUGUAAACCACUGUCGCGAGGGACGAAGAUCUGACGGUACCUCGAAAGGAAGCACCGGCUAACUCUGUGCCAGCAGCCGCGGUAAUACAGAGGGUGCAAGCGUUGUCCGGAAUUACUGGGCGUAAAGGGCGCGUAGGCGGUCCGAUAAGUAGGGGGUGAAAUCUCACGGCUCAACCGGGAGGCUGCCUUCUAGACUGUCGGACUGAGCACGGUAGA
rnacentral:rRNA from 1 species